rnacentral:rRNA from 1 species
GACGAACGCUGGCGGCGUGCUUAACACAUGCAAGUCGAACGGAAAGGCCCUUCGGGGUACUCGAGUGGCGAACGGGUGAGUAACACGUGGGUGAUCUGCCCUGCACUUUGGGAUAAGCCUGGGAAACUGGGUCUAAUACCGAAUAGGACCACGCGCUUCAUGGUGUGUGGUGGAAAGCUUUUGCGGUGUGGGAUGGGCCCGCGGCCUAUCAGCUUGUUGGUGGGGUAAUGGCCUACCAAGGCGACGACGGGUAGCCGGCCUGAGAGGGUGACCGGCCACACUGGGACUGAGAUACGGCCCAGACUCCUACGGGAGGCAGCAGUGGGGAAUAUUGCACAAUGGGCGCAAGCCUGAUGCAGCGACGCCGCGUGAGGGAUGACGGCCUUCGGGUUGUAAACCUCUUUCAAUAGGGACGAAGCGCAAGUGACGGUACCGAUAGAAGAAGCACCGGCCAACUACGU